rnacentral:rRNA from 1 species
CCUACGGGAGGCAGCAGUGAGGAAUAUUGGUCAAUGGCCGGAAGUCUGAACCAGCCAAGCCGCGUGAAGGACGAAGGUGCCAAGCAUUGUAAACUUCUUUUGUCAAGGGACAAAAUCAGGCUCGAGAGCCUGACCGCGGGUACUUGAAGAAAAAGCAUCGGCUAACUCCGUGCCAGCAGCCGCGGUAAUACGGAGGAUGCGAGCGUUAUCCGGAUUUAUUGGGUUUAAAGGGAGCGUAGAUGGGUUGUUAAGUCAGUUGUGAAAGUUUGCGGCUCAACCGUAAAAUUGCAAUUGAUACUGGCAGUCUUGAGUACAGUUGCGGUAGGCGGAAUUCGUGGUGUAGCGGUGAAAUGCUUAGAUAUCACGAAGAACUCCGAUUGCGAAGGCAGCUUACUAAACUGCCACUGACAUUGAUGCUCGAAAGUGUGGGUAUCAAACAGGAUUAGAUACCCGGGUAGUC